CAAUAUCCAAUAGCGGGACCUGGACGUCCAUAUUGGAUCCUACAUAUUCUACGAAGAGCUUAUCGUUUGAACCUCUAUGUCAAGGACUCACACAAUCUCGCACAUCAUUCCCUUUGUCCUUCGGUAUGUUGCUUGCCCGAGAUUCAAUCAUCGGUAUCUCCAUAACUAUUUCAAUCUCGUUACCAGCAAGUCUAUUUACUCGUUCCAUAAUACAAGAUCCCGUGACUAACUCUUUAGUCACAUUGCUUGCAAGGAUUGUUUGUGAUGUCGUAUUACCGAGUGGGCCCCAAGAUACUUCUCUGUCACACGGAGUGACAAAUUCCAGUCUUGAUCCAUGCUAACACCUUCGUAGAUGCCUAUAGAGUAACUUUAUAGUCACCCAGUAACGUUGCG
rnacentral:lncRNA from 1 species